rnacentral:rRNA from 1 species
GUAGGUGGCAAGCGUUGUCCGGAAUUAUUGGGCGUAAAGCGCGCGCAGGCGGUUCUUUAAGUCUGAUGUGAAAGCCCACGGCUCAACCGUGGAGGGUCAUUGGAAACUGGAGAACUUGAGUACAGGAGAGGAAAGCGGAAUUCCACGUGUAGCGGUGAAAUGCGUAGAGAUGUGGAGGAACACCAGUGGCGAAGGCGGCUUUCUGGUCUGUAACUGACGCUGAGGCGCGAAAGCGUGGGGAGCAAACAGGAUUAGAUACCCUGGUAGUCCACGCCGUAAACGAUGAGUGCUAAGUGUUAGGGGGGUUUUCCGCCCCCCUUAGUGCUGCAGCUAACGCAUUAAGCACUCCGCCUGGGAGUACGGCCGCAAGGCUG